rnacentral:rRNA from 1 species
AUUGAACGCUGGCGGCAGGCCUAACACAUGCAAGUCGAGCGGAGCGGCGGACGGGUGAGUAAUGCCUAGGAAUCUGCAAGGUAGUGGGGGAUAACGUCAGGAAACGGGCGCUAAUACCGCAUACUAUCAGAUGAGCCUAGGUCGGAUUAGCUAGUUGGUGGGGUAAAGGCCUACCAAGGCGGCGAUCCGUAACUGGUCUGAGAGGAUGAUCAGUCAAACUGGAACUGAGACACGGUCCAGACUCCUACGGGAGGCAGCAGUGGGGAAUAUUGGACGAUGGGCGAAAGCCUGAUCCAGCAAUGCCGCGUGUGUGAAGAAGUGCUUAGGAUGGUAAAGCACUUUAAGUUGGGAGACGUUACCAACAGAAUAAGCACCGGCUAACUUCGUGCCAGCAGCCGCGGUAAUAC